rnacentral:lncRNA from 1 species
GUUUAUUGAUGCUUAGUUGAUCCUGUUCCACAAGUCACUUUUCAAAAUAUUUACUUUGUUUUGCUUUACAGAUUAUUUCUGUGGUCUUGUCAAAGUUUGUAGCAAUAUAUUACUAUUAUCCAUCUCUAUGAUACCAUAAUGCAUUUUUAUAAUCAGCAUCACUUUCUGAGUAGAAAACUGAACUUUUUGGUGACUUUCUCUGAAAAUUGAUUAAUAUUCUUCAGCUAGGAACAUGGCCCUUUCCAAUAGAACAUAUUGAGACUUUAAUGGAUUUUGAGGAGUAUGGUGAUGUAUCAUGGAUCAUAUGUGAUUAGAAGCAAAAAGGAAAAGAGGAGGAGUUCCCGUCGUGGCGUAGUGGUUAACGAAUCCGACUAGGAACCAUGAGGUUGCGGGUUCGGUCCCUGCCCUUGCUCAGUGGGUUACCGAUCUGGCGUUGCUGUGAGCUGUGGUGUAGGUUGCAGACGCGGCUUGGAUCCCGCGUUGCUGUGGCUCUGGCGUAGGCUAGUGGCUACAGCUCCGAUUCAACCCCUAGCCUGGGAAGCUCCAUAUGCCGCGGGAGUGGCCAAGAAAUAGCAACAACAACAACAAUAACAACAAACAACAAAAAAAAAAAAAAAAAAAAAGGAAAAGAAACUGUUGAUGCCUUGGUUUCUUUAACAGUCUCUUAGUGUUGGCAUAAAUUCCUACAGACCAUCCACUCAUCUUUGGCUGUUUUGAUAGGAUAAUCUGAGUAUGUUUCCCGAUGAAAAGAUACUUUGCUGCCUGGAUUGUUCUGUGAUAAGCACUCUUAAAGAUCAUAUUCAGUGAAUUGCAAACUUCUCAGAAGGAGAAGGUAGAUGAAGAAAAGCCACAAAGACAUUAUAAAAGAAGAUCCUGAGGACCUGGGGGAGGAGUGGUCCAGCCUCAGGUCAGUCGUGGCCGCUCCUUCUGCCACCAUGGUCCUUGUAGAUGAGGUAACUGAUGAAAAUGAUACUUAUACAGAAAUUAUCACUCCAGUGACGAACAAUCAGGAUGAAGAAGAAGGUGGGUCUUCCUUGCUGGCAUUGGUUGGAGAGCAGCCAGACCCAGGGUUCCUUUUGAAAAGAGGAUUGGGGUGUGCUAGAGCAUGUAGCUCUUUCCCAGUCAUAGUGAUGCCCAAGUACGUACAUGCCCUGGAUGCAAGUCUAUCCUGUAGAUUGUGCUUUGUGGUAAGAUAUGAGACAUGGGAAGCAAGGUCCAUAUGUGAGCACAUGUGGUGUGAGUAUAUGUUUCCUCAGGACCUAUUGUCUGUUUCCACCACAAAUAGGCCUGGCAACUUUCAUGGAAGACAAAUACCACCCCCUCUGCUCAGCUGCUCUGCAUUCAUUC